CAGCAGUGGGGAAUAUUGCACAAUGGGCGAAAGCCUGAUGCAGCAACGCCGCGUGAGCGAUGAAGGCCUUCGGGUCGUAAAGCUCUGUCCUCAAGGAAGAUAAUGACGGUACUUGAGGAGGAAGCCCCGGCUAACUACGUGCC
rnacentral:rRNA from 1 species